rnacentral:sRNA from 2 species
CCAGGUCAGAAAUUUAUAUGCUGGACUGGCCAUAACACAUUCAUUAAAAGGAGCAGCCCUUAAGGGCUUGCUGCGUCUGGCCUCUUGGGAGGCUAUCUUCUCAAGAGCUAUUCUAUUCAUUGUUUUGAUUUAUAUGGAGGAUCACUCAUCAACGAUCUCGAUCUCGAUAUUCGUUUUGGAGGGCUUUUCAAUCUCCAACCUUUUAUGGAUUCAAGAAUUCAAAGCCAAAAUCUCUGUUCAUAUUAUAUUAUACUUUGUUUUAAUUCAUGCAUAUAUUUUCCGCUAUCUGUCGUCUGGGAUUUGAUCCAACAAGGCAGACUACAAUAUUUCCCGACCUUCUGAAGCAUGCUUCUCUUUCCCCUUGAAAAGGAGAAAGAAGAUAAAAUCACAGAUGGGAACAAUUAACAACGUCAUAUUCACAAAAUCUAAAUUCUGGAAAGUCUACGCUGAUGACAGGAGUCACUUUUUGACUACAUGGGGAUGACCCAUUACCACGAGCAGAAUCACCAUGUUAGCAGCAGGUGAACUGUCUGUUUCGCAGCAGUAGCUGGUAUUCGAGUUAGACCCUCCCCCACUCCCCCUUCCUCAAAUCUCCGAAAGCAGCAGCUACGAGAUAGAAAUCACACAAUCGUUUGCAAAAUCAAAUGCCCCUCUUCAUUCAGUCGAGGAUGAUCCAGCGUUUCCUCCUUGUCCAGGCGCCUUCUUGUCUUCUUUAUCGCUUUUUCGGCUACGUCUAAUUUCGCCGAAUGUUGGGGGUGGUCCCACGCCGCCUAUCAUGUACCAGAGAAGCUUAGUGGGACGCUCGUUGUCGUCAGGAUGGCGAUUUGGGGCCAUGCGGUUCACUACGGAGCUCGCUACGCAGCCGCCGCCACGGAGGUGGAGCACUGGCUCUGGUCUCUUCGCUGGCGCAGAGGCCAAUAAGUUGCCUUUGCCGGUUUCCUGCUUCUUAGAGCCUUUUGAGAUAUUCUCAGAAAAGGGAGACUUAGCAUCUUUGUCUAGUAGGACUUUGUUUUUGUCAGCCUCCUUUUCGGCCCGGUGUGGGGUGGUGGCCUUGGUCAAAUCGCGAUACUGGUUGUUCAUGCCAUUAUUAUCUGCCAACUUGGAGUGCUGAUCCAUUAUGUCUAAGUUGUUUUCGGAUGUCGAGGAUUCUCUCUGAGUUUUCACCAUCAACAUUUGGGUAAUGUAUCUUGUUGCUCUGGCUUCAAAUAGAAAACUCACCUUUUUCAGGGAUUGGGUGCUGUUCAGGAUCACUUUUGUGACAAUAACCUUUGUCAGUGAAGCGGUAGGUAUGAGACUGAUGCGCUCUCUUCUCCUAAACAGAGAUAUGCAUGCCUUAUGGCGCCGAACAAUUUCUUGAUGGUAGUCCUCUUUGAUAUUGACAACUGACCUUUCGAUAUUCCUUCGCCCCUCCUUUUUGAAUCGGUAUAUCCCUUUGGAGGAUUGAAGCUAACCACUAUCUUUUCCCAAAAUCCAAACGUCUCUUGGUGUUGUAUUCAGGGUUGAGCGGAGGGUUUACUAGAUAUGAAAGAUAUAUGGGUCUCUUUUCCUUGUUAUGUGUUCGAUGGUUUCACGAUCAACUAAGAAUUUCACGAAAAAUAUUUUACUAGAG